rnacentral:rRNA from 1 species
AGUGAACGCUGGCGGUAGGCCUAACACAUGCAAGUCGAACGGCAGCACAGUAAGAGCUUGCUCUUACGGGUGGCGAGUGGCGGCCGGGUGAGGAAUACAUCGGAAUCUACUUUUUCGUGGGGGAUAACGUAGGGAAACUUACGCUAAUACCGCAUACGACCUACGGGUGAAAGCAGGGGAUCUUCGGACCUUGCGCGAUUGAAUGAGCCGAUGUCGGAUUAGCUAGUUGGCGGGGUAAAGGCCCACCAAGGCGACGAUCCGUAGCUGGUCUGAGAGGAUGAUCAGCCAAACUGGAACUGGAACACGGUCCAGACUCCUACGGGAGGCAGCAGGGGGGAAUAUUGGACAAUGGGCGCAAGCCUGAUCCAGCCAUACCGCGUGGGUGAAGAAGGCCGUCGGGUUGUAAAGACCUUUUGUUGGGAAAGAAAAGCAGCAGGUUAAUACCGCGCUGUUCUGACGGUAACCAAAGAAUAAACAACGGCUAACUUCGUG